UUAUCUCCUUAAAAUAUGUUUGCAGCUGACUUAUAGCCUGCUAUUGUACCUGAAGCUCAGGUCUUGACUUCCUCCUUGAUUUUUGUCACCGUCGUUAUUGUGGAGAGCUUUUUAUGUUGGAACUUGGAAGGCUCUUUGGCUCAUUUUCUUUUACAAAUCCCAAGCAGAUUCUGUUUGGUAUACCUUAGGGAAACUUCAGGCCUAAUCUUUCAGUGGUCAGACGCAGAAUCAAUCCACUUGUUCGUCCUCUCAAAACAAGCAUAAUAUUAGUAUACAUUAUAAUCAGAACCUGUGGCUGAUUGAGCAGGAUUUGACACUACAGUUCGAACUGUAUACUACUCUAUUGACUGAUGGACUGCCCACUCCUAGCUGGCUAGCAAGUAGCAAGUAGAGAAGCUGCAUUGUCAUAGCAAAACCGCGUCGUUGCGUUUAUCUUGUAUAUAUAUGGGGGGCAAAGCCUUGGACGUGAGAACUACAGCCGAGUGAUCUACCAGCUUCAGAUUUCAGAGAGCGAUUGAUCAAGUGUAGUAGAGCGAGCUCCAUCUGCGGCCAUGGGAGCAGCUCGUCGGCUUCGCUUCGGGCUACGAGCGCCAGCGGCGUCGGCCAUGUCGGUCCUACUACUGCUGCUGCCGUCGUCGCUUUCGCUCGCGCUCUCGCCGCCGCCGCCGCCGCCCUUCUUCCCUCCGCAGUGGGCGCCGCCGGUGGCCGGCGGCGGUGGCCCUUUCGCUGGUCGACGUGGAAUGUAUCGUUGGCCAGGCCCCAGGACAUAGCAAGCCAAUCUAAGGGUUUAUUUGGGGGAGCUUUAAAUUUUGAGAAGCAGCUGUUUGGUAGCCAGCUUCUGAGAAUCUGGAAAAGCUCUGAAACCUAGCUUUUAUAUCUUCUGGCUUUUUAGUUCAUUUUUCAGAAUCUUAGACUGUUUGGGGCAGCUUCUAGCAGAAGCAGCUUUUAGGAAAAGCUGCAGCUGGGACAAACUCUCCCAAACAGGGCCUAAGUAGCACAUAGAUCACAUCUAUUUUAAAUUCUUCUGAAACUUGUUGAUGUGUGUCCAUUGCCAAAGACUGGAGAUAUAAUCUAUUUUCAUUAUUAAAAAAAUAGCACAUAGCUAGAAAUUCAUGCCCAAAAGUUUGUAUUCGAGUCUAUGUAAAUUUGCUCCAAACGUAUCUGAAACUGUUGAAUAAAGAUGAACUAUCUGCUCAUACGAAUAAAAUUAUUUGAAACUAGGAAAGACCGAUAUGUGGUGGUUCAUCUGGUUCAAAUCAUGCUGCUCAUAAAUAUCACACCACGAAAAUGCUUUCAAUAAAAUUGUAACUAUAUUAAGAGUGUUUCUUAUAGGAUGUGUUAAAGCGCACAUUCAUGCGUAUAUGCGCAUGUGUAUGUCUUCCCUUAAAUGAAAAAAAUAUGUAAUUUUUAAAAAAUAAAAUGAAAAAAAAGUUUGGAAUUUACAUGAGAUUUUUUUGAGAGGAAAAAAAACUUGCUACUAGAAAGUUAAUUAAGAGAGAGAAUGGAAUACAUCUAUGAGGACGGCCUGCCCACAGCCCAACAUCAACAAGGCCCGACCCAACCUUGUUUUGUCACCCUCCCUUUCUCUCUUUCUCCAACUCUUCGACGGCGUCGACCCUGUCGCGCCGCCGCGGAGCGGCGGAGGAAGACGAGACGAUGGGCGGCGCAGGCGCGGCGGAAGGCGGCAGGUUUGCCAGGCCGGCGCCGUCUUCUCCAAGCAGAUGUGCAAGCCAGACUUCUUAAUUCAUUUGAACAUGCCUCAUUAUCCCAACCAGGAGAUGGAAUCGUAGGAUCUUGGUGCCUGUGGUAGCAAGAGAGGAAGUCCAUCCAUUGGAUGAGAUUUUUGAGACAUCGCCUGUACAUCAACCAAGGAUGGAACUGAUCAACUGUAGAUCCAGCUAAAAAUUGCAUUUUUUUUAACGCAAAGAAAAGAUUGACAAGGUAAUAUUACGUCAAUAAUCACAUUAUCUGUUUUACCCAGAUGGACAGUUGUUGAUGAAUUUAUAUAGGUAGGAAGAUGACAACGUACUUGACUUGCGUGAAUUUUGCAUGGUCACCACCAUGUAUUUUUUUGCUGACAAUGAUGUUCCACUUGCUAGUUACCUUGUGUAAUUAUUGCUGACGUUACUUUUGCAUGGUCACCACCAUGUAUUUUUUAGCUGACAAUGAUGUUCCACUUGUUAGUUAACUUGUGUAAAUUCAAAACUAAUUACGUCAGGUUGGAAUAUUACACAGUAUACUAACGGUUUCAGCCAAAAGAAUGAGACAGAAACAGAGGGUGCCGACUUGA